AAUCUUGCGCAAUGGGCGAAAGCCUGCCGCAGCCAUGCCGCCUGAAUGAUGAAGGCCUUAGGAUUGUAAAAUUCUUUCACCGGCGACGAUAAUGACGGUACGCGGAGAAGAAGCCCCGGCUAAGUCCGUGCCAGCAGCCGCGGUAAUACGAAGGGGGCUAGCGUUGCUCGGAAUGACUGGGCGUAAAGGGCGCGUUGGCGGAUAGUUAAGUCAGGAGUGAAAUCCCGGGGCUCAACCUCGGAAUUGCCCUUGAUACUGGCGAUCUUGAGUAUGAGAGAGGUAUGUGGAAGUCCGAGUGUAGAGGUGAAAUUCGUAGAUAUUCGGAAGAACACCAGUGGCGAAGGCGACAUACUGGCUCAUUACUGACGCUGAGGCGCGAAAGCGUGGGGAGCAAACA
rnacentral:rRNA from 1 species